rnacentral:rRNA from 1 species
UACGAAGGGGGCUAGCGUUGCUCGGAAUCACUGGGCGUAAAGCGCACGUAGGCGGAUUGUUAAGUCGGGGGUGAAAUCCUGGAGCUCAACUCCAGAAUUGCCUUCGAUACUGGCGAUCUUGAGUCCGGGAGAGGUGAGUGGAACUCCGAGUGUAGAGGUGAAAUUCGUAGAUAUUCGGAAGAACACCAGUGGCGAAGGCGGCUCACUGGCCCGGUACUGACGCUGAGGUGCGAAAGCGUGGGGAGCAAACAGG